rnacentral:rRNA from 1 species
AUUGAACGCUGGCGGCAGGCUUAACACAUGCAAGUCGAACGCCCCGCAAGGGGAGUGGCAGACGGGUGAGUAACACGUGGGAACGUACCCUUUGGUUCGGAAUAACUUGGGGAAACUCAAGCUAAUACCGGAUAAGCCCUUAUGGGGAAAGGUUUACUGCCGAAGGAUCGGCCCGCGUCUGAUUAGCUAGUUGGUGAGGUAAUGGCUCACCAAGGCGACGAUCAGUAGCUGGUCUGAGAGGAUGAUCAGCCACACUGGGACUGAGACACGGCCCAGACUCCUACGGGAGGCAGCAGUGGGGAAUAUUGGACAAUGGGGGCAACCCUGAUCCAGCCAUGCCGCGUGAGUGAUGAAGGCCUUAGGGUUGUAAAGCUCUUUUACCCGGGACGAUAAUGACUGUACCGGGAGAAUAAGCCCCGGCUAACUUCGCGCCAGCCGCCGCAGUAA